GGACUACCAGGGUAUCUAAUCCGGAUCGCUCCCCACGCUUUCGCUCCUCAGCGUCAGAACAGGUCCAGGAAGCCGCCUUCGCCACUGGUGUUCCUCCCGAUAUCUACGCAUUCCACCACUACACCGGGAAUUCCGCUUCCCCCUACCUGCCUCGAGCCCGCCAGUAUCGGAUGACCGCUCCCAGUUGAGCCGGGAGAUUUCACAUCCGACUUGGCGUGGCCGCCUACAAGCGCUUUACGCCCAAUAAAUCCGGACAACGCUCGCCCCCUACGUAUUACCGCGGCUGCUGGCAC
rnacentral:rRNA from 1 species